GGGUUGUGAGGUUAAGCGACUAAGCGUACACGGUGGAUGCCCUGGCAGUCAGAGGCGAUGAAGGGCGUGCUAAUCUGCGAUAAGCGCCGGUAAGGUGAUAUGAACCGUUAUAACCGGCGAUACCCGAAUGGGGAAACCCAGUGUGAUUCGUCACACUAUCAUUAACUGAAUCCAUAGGUUAAUGAGGCGAACCGGGGGAACUGAAACAUCUAAGUACCCCGAGGAAAAGAAAUCAACCGAGAUUCCCCCAGUAGCGGCGAGCGAACGGGGAGGAGCCCAGAGCCUGAAUCAGCAUGUGUGUUAGUGGAAGCGUCUGGAAAGGCGCGCGAUACAGGGUGACAGCCCCGUACACAAAAGCGCAUGUGCUGUGAGCUCGAUGAGUAGGGCGGGACACGUGGUAUCCUGUCUGAAUAUGGGGGGACCAUCCUCCAAGGCUAAAUACUCCUGACUGACCGAUAGUGAACCAGUACCGUGAGGGAAAGGCGAAAAGAACCCCGGCGAGGGGAGUGAAAAAGAACCUGAAACCGUGUACGUACAAGCAGUGGGAGCACAGGUUUACCUGUGUGACUGCGUACCUUUUGUAUAAUGGGUCAGCGACUUAUAUUCUGUAGCAAGGUUAACCGAAUAGGGGAGCCGGAGGGAAACCGAGUCUUAACCGGGCGUUAAGUUGCAGGGUAUAGACCCGAAACCCGGUGAUCUAGCCAUGGGCAGGUUGAAGGUUGGGUAACACUAACUGGAGGACCGAACCGACUAAUGUUGAAAAAUUAGCGGAUGACCUGUGGCUGGGGGUGAAAGGCCAAUCAAACCGGGAGAUAGCUGGUUCUCCCCGAAAGCUAUUUAGGUAGCGCCUCGUGAAUUCAUCUCCGGGGGUAGAGCACUGUUUCGGCUAGGGGGCCAUCCCGGCUUACCAACCCGAUGCAAACUGCGAAUACCGGAGAAUGUUAUCACGGGAGACACACGGCGGGUGCUAACGUCCGUCGUGAAGAGGGAAACAACCCAGACCGCCAGCUAAGGUCCCAAAGUCAUGGUUAAGUGGGAAACGAUGUGGGAAGGCCCAGACAGCCAGGAUGUUGGCUUAGAAGCAGCCAUCAUUUAAAGAAAGCGUAAUAGCUCACUGGUCGAGUCGGCCUGCGCGGAAGAUGUAACGGGGCUAAACCAUGCACCGAAGCUGCGGCAGCGACGCUGUGCGUUGUUGGGUAGGGGAGCGUUCUGUAAGCCUGCGAAGGUGGCCUGUGAGGGUUGCUGGAGGUAUCAGAAGUGCGAAUGCUGACAUAAGUAACGAUAAAGCGGGUGAAAAGCCCGCUCGCCGGAAGACCAAGGGUUCCUGUCCAACGUUAAUCGGGGCAGG
rnacentral:rRNA from 1 species